rnacentral:rRNA from 1 species
UACGUAGGGGGCGAGCGUUGUCCGGAUUUAUUGGGCGUAAAGAGCUCGUAGGCGGCUUGGCAAGUCGGGUGUGAAAACUCCAGGCUCAACCUGGAGAUGCCACUCGAGCCUGCUAUGGCUAGAGUCCGGUAGGGGACCACGGAAUUCCUGGUGUAGCGGUGAAAUGCGCAGAUAUCAGGAGGAACACCGGUGGCGAAGGCGGUGGUCUGGGCCGGCACUGACGCUGAGGAGCGAAAGCGUGGGGAGCGAACAGG